UACGUAGGGUGCAAGCGUUAAUCGGAAUUACUGGGCGUAAAGCGUGCGCAGGCGGUUAUGCAAGACAGAGGUGAAAUCCCCGGGCUUAACCUGGGAACUGCAUCCGAUACUGGAUGGCUUGAAUCCGGGAGAGGGAUGCAGAAUUCCAGGUGUAGCGGUGAAAUGCGUAGAUAUCAAGAGGAACACCUGCGGCGAAGGCGGGUUGCUGGGCCGACACUGACGCUGAUGCGCGAAAGCUAGGGGAGCGAACGGG
rnacentral:rRNA from 1 species